rnacentral:rRNA from 1 species
AACGAACGCUGGCGGCAUGCCUAACACAUGCAAGUCGAACGAGACCUUCGGGUCUAGUGGCGCACGGUUGCGUAACGCGUGGGAACCUGCCCUUAGGUUCGGAAUAACUCCCCGAAAGGGGUGCUAAUACCGGUUAAUUUCUUCGGACCAAAGAUUUAUCGCCUUUGGAUGGGCCCGCGUUGGAUUAGCUAGUUGGUAGGGUAAAAGCCUACCAAGGCGACGAUCCAUAGCUGGUCUGAGAGGAUGAUCAGCCACACUGGGACUGAGACACGGCCCAGACUCCUACGGGAGGCAGCAGUGGGGAAUAUUGGACAAUGGGCGAAAGCCUGAUCCAGCAAUGCCGCGUGAGUGAUGAAGGCCUUAGGGUUGUAAAGCUCUUUUACCCGGGAUGAUAAUGACAGUACCGGGAGAAUAAGCUCCGGCUAACUCCGUG